rnacentral:rRNA from 1 species
ACGGGAGACACACGGCGGGUGCUAACGUCCGUCGUGAAGAGGGAAACAACCCAGACCGCCAGCUAAGGUCCCAAAGUCAUGGUUAAGUGGGAAACGAUGUGGGAAGGCCCAGACAGCCAGGAUGUUGGCUUAGAAGCAGCCAUCAUUUAAAGAAAGCGUAAUAGCUCACUGGUCGAGUCGGCCUGCGCGGAAGAUGUAACGGGGCUAAACCAUG